UAGCUAUAAACAUCCUUGAGGACAUGGCUGCCCUCUACAACCUUUGGCAAAGGUCUUCCAGAGAGCUGCACGUGUUACCAGCUUUCAGUAAUGGCCGGCGAAGAUAGCUUAGACUUCGGCGAAGGUCAUCAAGACAACUACCGGCCAUCAUAACCUCCAGCCAAGGUUGUCGAGGUUUCUAUGGUGAGCAGCCUACAGCCGUAUGGUGAAACGCAAGGGACUCACGACUUUAAAUUAAAAAUCACAUCCUAAAACCAGCAAGUGUGGUCUAGAGGUUGCCAUAGUCACUUCGGUUAUAGUCCCGCAAUAGUUGUAGCUCCUGCAAUGAACAACAGACAAUAUGCAGCAGCACGUGAAAAGGGAGUAACCUUUUUCAUUAAUUCAGACUUAAUUGGAACCAACUUUCUCACGCUUACAAGCCAUUGAAGUUGCCAAUUCUUCCAUAAAUUAAGAAGGCAACCUCGCACACAGGUUGUUUAACGAAAUGUCUGACUUAGACCUUUUCAAAAACCCGACCAGGGAAGCGAGUUUUGAAACAUGAGUUUGCAAGCCUUUUGCUCAGACAACUAUAGGCACGAGGUUUAUUCUAAAUCCUACUCAUUAAUCCUUGCAUAAGCUGGUAGAAAUCUUGUGUUGGAACUUAAAAUUUAAGCAAUCCUAUAUGACACCUGAAAUUGCCUUUGAAAUGCUCGGUAAAUGCCCGAACCAUUUUUAGAUGGUUCCAUUGCAUCAAAUAUGAUUUGCAAGCUUUGAAUUACUGAACUAUUGGCACGUUUAAUCUCUUAUUGCUAGAUACGAAACACUCUAAGAGGCAAGUCAACUUUGGAGGCUGCAGGAUGAUGCAUCCUUGAAAGGCUAGAACUGAAAUUGCUGCAUUCUGGUGGUAUUUGUGGGUUUGAAUUCUUUCCUGGUCGAUUAUGUAUGGUUCAAUUUUAGUUUUCCCUGUUGCCAUACUUAUGUUUAGUUGACUUCUGGUUUAAAACCAUGAUAUUUUGAGGGUUCUUAGUUGUUCAUCAGGCUAGAUUUGAAGGGAUUAGUGCAGAUAUCUUUGAUUAAUGAGCUUGAAUUUGUUGCUUCAUGAGCAGGCGACAGUAGAAACCAUUUCACUGCUGAAUCUUUUCCUAAAGAUAGCA
rnacentral:lncRNA from 1 species